CAGUUCGGACUCUAGCAACCCCGUCGUUUGAUCUGUCACCGAUGGCUCGCCACGUCGAGAGCCGUUCUUUUUGGAUUCGGAAGAGAUCGUAGCAAGGCGUGGUUCGUUUCCUUUUCCCAGCGGCCUGGUGCCGUCUGAUGGCUUCUAUAUCGCGGUUUAAGCCGCCUAAUCCUCGUUGGAUGUGAAUCGUCCUGUGCAGUUGAAGCCCCGGGUGCAUUGAAAUUAUGCAAGUCCUUUCCUACGCCCGCUUAUUGUCUGCCCCGGGGUUUCAAGAUUUACCGUCUUUAUUACAAGUGUACGGUGUGGCCUCAAGAUGCCAGCUUCUGCAAGCCGAGCUACCAGUGGCAGGGAGCUGUGCCUGGCGUUUCCAUACUUCCACGUCGAAGUUCCUGGUCAACGUGGCGGUUGUAUUGUUUACGGUCCCUCGAAGUUUUAGAGGUUAGAUCGACCCUUUAUUUUCAUAUUAAUUACUGAACCAGAGAUGCUGGUUCUGGCGCCCUCAUACCCUUUAGUACCGUUUAAAUUCGUCCGUCAGUAGGCCGCUUCUACCAAAACAUUUAAAAAAAGAGUUCGCUAUACCCAUAACUGUUCCCUCAACACUUAAAAAAGAGUCUGGUGCUCAUGUUAUUUAGAUAAGAGCUAGUUUACCUUACGUUCCUGUCAUUACGGCCCUUAAGGCUCUCCGGGUUAAUUUUGAAAUUAUUUAAAUAAAGGUUCUAACCAUAUUGUGUAGUUUCCUUAAUUAAUUAAGAAAAUAUUCCAUAUUAG